GUACCUGCAACCAUUUGCCUACAAGGUGUGGGAGUCCCGUUUUGCGGGAUGACCGCCUGCCUUUUGCAUAAUGAGUCUGCGAGUUAUUGUCCGUGGCCAGCCUAAGCGGUUGAGCCGCGCAGGCGAAGGGAAACCGAGUGCGAAAUGCGCGUCCAGUCGCGGGCAAUAGACCCGAAGCGGAGGUGAUCUACUUUUGAGCAGGUUGAAGCCUGGGUAACACCAGGUGGAGGACCGAACUCGUGGAUGUUGAAAAAUCCUGAGAUGACUUGAGAGUAGGAGCGAAAGACUAAUCAAACCCCGUGAUAGCUGGUUCUCUCCGAAAUCGCUUGAGGGCGAGUGUUGUGGAAGUACUCCAUGGAGGUAGAGCACUGAAUGGCUUAGGGACCCCACCAGGUUACCAAAACCAAUCAAACUCCGAAUGCCAUGGAUCUCAGUAUCACAGCAGUUAGGCAGUGGGCGAUAAGGUUCAUUGCCGAGAGGAAAACAGUCCAGACCAUCAGCUAAGGUGCCCCAAUGUGAUUAAGUGGAAAGGAUGUGACGUUGCUUAGACAGUGAGGAUGUUGGCUUAGAGGCAGCCAUCAUUUAAACAGUGCGUAACAGCUGACUCAUCGAGCGAUGUCGCGCCGAAAAUGAUUGGCGAUUAAAUCACAUACCGAAGCUAUGGAUUCGCAGGAUUUUCGAAUCCUGCGAGUGGUAGGAGAGCGUAAUUAGCGCGGCGAAGCCGGACGGAAACGGACGGUGGAGCGCUGAUUAGUGAGAAUGCAGACACGAGUAGCGAUAAACCAGGUGAGAAUCCUGGUCGCCGUAAACCCAAGGUUUCCUGGGCCAGGUUCGUCCUCCCAGGGUUAGCCGGGAGCUAACGCGAGGCCGUAAGGCGUAGCGGAUGCACAGCAGGUUAAAUAUUCCUGCGCCGGGUAAGAAUUAGCUAUGCGAUGACGCAACGGAACACAUCGGCUAGGCAAUCGAAUGCUGAGCUUAGGCUUCGGCCGAAGCGCACCGGUGGAGAAGUUGCCGAGAAAAGUUGCAUAGUAUGUCUUAUUCGCCCGUACCGCAAACCGACACAGGUGGGUGAGUGUAAGCGCACUCAGGCGCGCGAGAGAAACCUCUCUAAGGAACUCGGCACAUUAGCCCCGUAACUUCGGAAGAAGGGGUGCCUGGAUCGUGGCAGCAAUGUUGCGAAUUCAGGUCUCAGUAAAUUGCGCUUAGCGACUGUUUAACAAAAACACAGCACUCUGCAAAGUCGUGAAGACGACGUAUAGGGUGUGACACGUGACCAAUGCGGAAAGAUUAAGGCAUCUUGUUAGUCCCGCGCAAGCGGGGCGAGGCUCGGUGUCCAAGUCCCCGUGAAUGUCGGCCGUAACUAUAACGGUCCUAAGGUAGCGAAAUUCCUUGUC
rnacentral:rRNA from 1 species